rnacentral:RNase_P_RNA from 1 species
AGUGAGCCGGGCAGUCGCGUGCUAUUAAGCAUGAGGAAAGUCCGGGCAUCGCAGAGCGGGAUAACGGCUAACGGCCGCCGAGGGUGACCUUAGGGAAAGUGCAACAGAGAUAUACCGCCUGAUUUUUCAGGUAAGGGUGGAAAGGCGAGGUAAGAGCUCACCUCCGGAACGGAGACGUCUCCGGGAUGUAAACCCUAUCCGAUGCAACACCGACAGGAGUUGUCUGCUCGACGCUAACUCCGACGGGUGGCACGACCGUUUCGGCAACGGGACGGCAAGACAGAUGAUUGCCUUAAAAGACAGAACCCGGCUUACAGGCUCACUCA